AAUAGAUACCCUGGUAGUCCACGCCGUAAACGAUGAGUGCUAGGUGUUAGGGGUUUCGAUGCCCGUAGUGCCGAAGUUAACACAUUAAGCACUCCGCCUGGGGAGUACGGCCGCAAGGCUGAAACUCAAAGGAAUUGACGGGGGCCCGCACAAGCAGUGGAGCAUGUGGUUUAAUUCGAAGCAACGCGAAGAACCUUACCAGGUCUUGACAUCCUUUGACUACUCUGGAGACAGAGCUUCCCCUUCGGGGGCAAAGUGACAGGUGGUGCAUGGUUGUCGUCAGCUCGUGUCGUGAGAUGUUGGGUUAAGUCCCGCAACGAGCGCAACCCCUACUGUGUGUUGUAUCACUCACACGGGACUGCCGAGAGAAACUCGGAGGAAGGUGGGGAUGACGUCAAGUCAGCAUGGCCCUUACGUCCUGGGCUACACCCACGCUACAAUGGCCGGUACAACGGGCAGCGAAACCGCGAGGUGGAGCUAAUCCCUUAAAGCCGGUCUCAGUUCGGAUUGCAGGCUGCAACUCGCCUGCA
rnacentral:rRNA from 1 species